GCCGGGCGUGGUGGUGCAUGCCUGUAAUCCCAGCUACUCAGGAGGCUGAGGCAGGAGAAUUGCUUGAACCCAGGAGGCAGAGGUUGCAGUGAGCUGAGAUCAUGCCACUGCACUCUAGCCUGGGUGACAGAGCAAGACUCAGUCUCAA
rfam:Gorilla gorilla gorilla genomic chromosome, chr1, whole genome shotgun sequence